GGCCAACUCCAUUGCUGUCUCGUAUACACAGGCUGUACAGAGUAAACCAAGAGGCAACACUGUUCCAUAAAGCCACUGAAUGAAACUGACUCACAAUCUACUAGGCAAAAUAUACUUUUAUCCUGAAAGUAAGGCUGCUUCUUCACAGUCAUGAGAUGCCAACAUAACACCGGCCAGAGUCACCCUGCUGCAGAUGCUGAGCCACUGCUUCCCAUCAUCGCCACGGCCUCCCUCAAACCACCACUGCUUCCACCGAACCACCACCACGGCCUCCAACGAAUCACCACCACGGCCUCCAACGAAUCACCACCACGGCCUCCAACGAAUCACCACCACGGCCUCCAACGAACCACCACCACGGCCUCCACCGAACCACCACCACUGGUCCAGCCACGCAGCCUGUUGCACCUGCACCUAGCCUGUUUCAGCUGAAGCUAGAACACCAGCCAAGCUGCCCAAGUACGACGGGACAACACAACUAGAACCAUACCUCUCACAAGUCCAACUAGCAGCAUGGAAACAGCGGCUCGAGUGACAAAGAAGCUUCCACCCACCUGGCCUUGAUGCUGGAGGGAAAGCCAUUGCAGGUGGUAGAAGAGGUUUGCCAAAAACGGCCUCCACCAUUCGACCGCUGCUACUAGUGUGGCGAGCCAGGUCACAUAGCGCGCGACUCCCCAGCACUAGCGGCGCGACUGCCCAGCACUAGCGGUGAAAGCCGUUGCCUCCGUUCAAGGCCGAUGUACGCUGGUUGGCCACCGGGGGAUUGUAUCUGAACGGCCAGCUUAUACAUGGGGACUACCAAUUCCCUGGUGCGACCUGGCAUCUUUCCAGGUACCACCGGCCCACUCUGAGUAGCGUGGUCAUCAAUCCAUACCCAGCUGAAGAUACUGACAGCAGGAAAGGCCGACAUGAGAGGGAGGAAGUGCUGCAAACUCUGGAGGCUGGAGACCAGGAGCUGGUGUACGAGUUCUGGCUCGCCGCUGUGACGCUGUGAAUCAUCAGCCUGGACCUGCUGACCUGCUGACCUGUGUUGAUGUGUCGGAGGCAACCAUCACCCGCAGCACCCGUGGAGACCGUGGCGCUCCAGUCCGAUCAGGGGAAGAAGAACGGACCCAGGGAUCAACGAGCCCCAGUCCCCAAGUAGCUGCCUCCCCGCCCGCGCCAAGCCCUUGUGCCCCACCGCCCCAGUAGCCCAGCCCACCAUCCAAGAGUUCACAUCACACCGCCACUGUCAGCCAGAGGGGCCAUCACACCGCCACUGUCACUGUCAGCCAGAGGGGCCAUCACACCGCCACUGUCAGCCACAGGGGCCAUCACAUCGCCACUGUCAGCCAGAGGCCCUGCUGCAUCAACACUGCGAGAUAUCGGUCGAUCCAUGCUAGCUCACAACAACAUGUACACCGUACCAGAUGAUUUGCUUAGACUUCCACUCACAUCUAUAGAGGCUGUGGCUGGACGUGUGCUUAACAUGCACAAGGCAGCGCUUUCUUGGCGCACAACUUUGAGUCUUAUCAUGUAAUGUUUUGUCCCAGUGCCGUACCAUCCCUCUUUGCCUACUCAUCCCUGCAUGUCUCAGCUCUCUCGUGGGAACAAAGGCAUUAAAACCUAUUUUGGGGCUAAAUCUUCCACUCAUAAUUCUGUUCAACUUAAAACUCUGUAGUUUCUUUGGUUUUAGUCAUCCUUGAAAAACUUGAGUUACACAAGUGGUUGAAUGGUCAGCUUUUUCUAAUGUUUCUUACCCAGCCAUCCUUUUUUCUGAGCCAUAACCCAACAUCUGGCUUCACAAAUGGAAGGAAACAUCUUUAUAGGCACACAUUUAUGUCAUUUAUUUUUUUCUAAUACUCACACUCAGUUGUGUAAUCAGUGUUAGAAUUUGCUUUAGCUCAACAUCUCUCAAGCUUAUGCCAAGUCAAUCUCACUCAAUCACACACACAAUCUCUCUCUUUCUCUCAUUCACACACUCAUUCACACACACAAACACACACUCAUUCACACACACACACACACACACACACAAACAGAGAGACAGCGAAACACCCCAUCCAAGACCACCACCAGCUGUAUAUGACAGAGUUCUAUAAUGAAUGGAAUUACCUAAGAGCAUACCUAGGAUUAAGUACUACUCUAGUUUUGUAUUUAAUAUGAUCAUGAAACUACCCUUUACGUCACAACUACGCAAUAGAAGUCCUGAAGACAAACAAAGAUAAUGAAAUGAUCUAAACAGACUGCCAUGUCUUUAUGCGCAAACGUCAAGAAGGCUUAAUAUCCAAUGAUCAUUGACCUUCACUGAAUACAUACAGUAAACUGCUUUACACUAUAUA